rnacentral:rRNA from 1 species
AUAGAGUUUGAUCCUGGCUCAGGAUGAACGCUGGCGGCGUGCUUAACACAUGCAAGUCGAACGAUGAUGCCAGCUUGCUGGUGGAUUAGUGGCGAACGGGUGAGUAACACGUGAGUAACCUGCCCUUAACUCUGGGAUAAGCCUGGGAAACUGGGUCUAAUACCGGAUAUGACUCCUCAUCGCAUGGUGGGGGGUGGAAAGCUUUUUGUGGUUUUGGAUGGACUCGCGGCCUAUCAGCUUGUUGGUGAGGUAAUGGCUUACCAAGGCGACCACGGGUAGCCGGCCUCAGAGGGUCACCGGCCACACUGGGACUGACACACCGCCCCUACCCUNCGGGAGNCNCCUCUNGGGAAUAUCGCCCAUUNNNCCCCUCCCUAUUCCCCCNACCCCCNGUCACNCACCNANUCCCUUCCCACGUUU